AUUUUACAAACUACUCACUGCUCACCUCCCAGUCAUCCCUCCCACAAUACUUCACCACAGCACUGGAGGCAUUAAGUAGGUACCAGUAGGGGUUGUUCUGGUCCUACUUGUAUUCUAAUGCUAUUUACUGCCUCUCAAGAUCUUGUUGCCCCCAUAGCAGAUCCUCAUGUACUCCAAGUGAUGGUAUGUAAACCUUUCUCCCCAAUUAAAACUAUUGGUUAAAUAAGACAACAGCCAAUGACUGAGUGCAAUAGAGAGAAGUAGGGUUUGAAUUACUGGUCUGUGCUUUUUAGGUAGACUCUACAAGGAGAAGAAAAGAGAAAAGGAAGAAGAGGAGGAGGAGGAGAGCAUUAGAGACCAGAAGGCCUCCAUGAUUUCUGAUGGACCAACAGCACAUACCAGAGUGAUAUAUCUCCCAGGAUGCCAAACUCUUGUGGCAAAUAACUCAGAGAAUUACAAAUCACAAGUUUUUGUGAAGCACAGUUGAGACAGGGGCCAGAUGAGCAUUUAGAGAUUUUGAUUAGGACUAAUUCCCUAGCAAUUACACAGAGGCUAAUAAACAAAUCUCACUCUCUUAAAGGUAAAUGGUGAUAAGUUUAAUAACUAUUUCAUAGGUACCAGGUUCAAAUCUCAUCUAUGACUUUUAUGGUUAGUCCUUACAUCUAAAUCACAAAUUUCCCUGAAGACUGAACACAUAAAUCAAAUGCCUGACAGACAUAUGAGUGCAGGUCAGGCAGUGUGCUCUGAGACCUAUUUUAGAUUCACUACAUGUGUGCUGGCUUAAGAAGGCACCAUCAGGAUUGUGGGGCAUCUCCCUGCUAUACAGGCCUGAACACUAGCUCUGAUACAAUGUCUGCUCAAUGGUCUAGCUCUUGAUUGAUAGCAUCCCUCAGUCUCAGCUUCUGUCAGGCAAUCUUCAUUUCUCCAGCCAGGAGACAGCAGAUUCCUAUUCUGCUAACUCUGACAUGGCUCACAGCAGUGCUGGUGAGCAGGCACACCCUCCAAUCUGAAUCUAACUCAGAAGGAGGUUAUGGGAUAUGCAGGGUUCUCUCUGGGGUUUUAUAAGCAAGAACUGAUUGCUGACAGAGAGGAACAUUCUCUGGUGGAGCUGCCAGCAAUCUGUGUAGAGAACUCCAGGGAUUCAGCUUCCCCAAGUCAUCACCCAUGUUGGGUGGCAUGGGUGGCUUUGUUAGUGAUGUAGCUAGCUCACUAUGUUAACCAUGUUCUUGCCACCUCAAUAAACAUUCUCCCCUUCGCUGGGCUUGAAAUCACUUAGGAGGUACAGCUCUGGGUGUGUUUGGGAGUUUUGAGAGAACCUGAAGUAAAAAGGAAGAGCCACCUGCAUGUGAUGGCUGAAACUGGAGGCCCAGCUUAGGCAGAAGCAAAAAGAAAAGCCACUGAUGCACCAUCUCCUUUUCUCUUACCAUGCCCUAUCCUGGAGAAAAUGAAGUCUUUUUACAUCUCUCCAAGAAACACAGCAACAAACACCCCACUCAUCACUUGCUGUAACCAUCCUUCUGGAACUUAAUUUCAAUCUUCUCAAGGACCUUAACACAUGCCCUGACACCCCAAGACUGCAGCUGAAGCAGCAAAGAAUCUGUGUCAAGUUAGAGGUAAAAGAGAGAAAUUUCCGAACAGAACCCUGGUUUUGCAGAAGAUGAGAGCAGUCACUGACAAAGAGGAUCCCUUGAAGCUAAAACUUCUGCACAGUGAACUGUCAGGACUGAACCGUGUAGGUUAAAUGGAGAUCUAUGCUUUGUGUUAAGAGCCUGGAUUCUGGGAACAUGGCAGAAUGGAUGUCCAUGCCUUUCAGGGUCUCCAGGCUACUUCCAGCCAGCGCUUCUACCAAAACCCAAGACCCCUUUCACGGCCCCACAAAAAUGGACUUUGGAGGAUGAAAAGAUAGCUCAAUAAUUGCUUCUGCAGAGGACCUGAAUUCACUUCUCAGUGCUCACACAGUGGCUCAUAACUGUCUGAAACCCGAGUUUCAAAGGAUCCAAUGUUCUCUACUGAACUAUGGGGGAACCAGGUGCUCAUGUGGUACAAAACACUCACACACAUAGAAUAAUAAAAAAAAAAAUUAAAUUAGAAAAAGAAAGGCUUAACCAGGGGCAGGCAGGAGAGAGUGGGGUAAGUCAAAGGGUGGGUAAAAGGGUUAAGCCAAAAAUGGCUGUGUAGAAAAUCCAGGCAAAAGCCUACUAUCUCAUAAUCCACUCUCAAAUGAGGGGCUAUUGGCAGCUCAGAAAUGGGAGUCUUUUUUUUGAGGAUGAGGUCACUGGGAGAUGUUCCAUUCUACAGUAAGUGGCCUUAAAUGAAGGUACAUGCAGAUGUAGACAUUGCUAAAUGUACCUAGAGAAGAAGAGAAGGAGGAGGAGAGGAUGUAGCUAGGAGAUCGCUGUGUAGGAAAGAUCUGGGGGUUGUAGUUGGAAAAAUAAGGUUGUAUAUAAUCACGUUACAUUGUAUGUACAUAUAGAAUUCUGAAAAAAAAUCUGGGUGCUGGAGAAAUGACUUAGCAGUUAACAGUACUGACUAAUCUUCCAGAAAUCCCAGGUUUGAAUUCCCAGCACUUACAUGCAGCUCACAACUGUCUGUAACUUCUG